UUAAUAAAGAGUUUGAUCCUGGCUCAGGACGAACGCUGGCGGCGCGCCUAACACAUGCAAGUCGAACGGGAACGUGCGCAACACUGUGUGUUGCGCAAUUGACAAUGAACAAUUGACAAUGGACAAUUAUGGAGCGGCACUUCGUGCCGCAGUUAAGAAUAGUCGCCGAAGGCGACACCAUAACUGUCAAUUGUCAACUGUCAAUUGUAAAUUGAGCAAGUAACACAGAGUGUUGCGCGCGUUUUAGUGGCGGACGGGUGAGUAACACGUGAGCAACCUGCCUUUAAGUGGGGGACAACAGCCGGAAACGGCUGCUAAUACCGCAUAAACCGGCACCCGGGCAUCCGGGAACCGGCAAAGAUUUAUCGCUUAAAGAUGGGCUCGCGCCUGAUUAGACAGUUGGCGGGGUAACGGCCCACCAAAUCUACGAUCAGUAGCCGGACUGAGAGGUUGAACGGCCACAUUGGGACUGAGACACGGCCCAGACUCCUACGGGAGGCAGCAGUGGGGGAUAUUGCACAAUGGGGGAAACCCUGAUGCAGCGACGCCGCGUGAGGGAAGAAGGUUUUCGGAUUGUAAACCUCUGUCGGAGGGGACGAUAAUGACGGUACCCUCUAAGGAAGCCACGGCUAACUACGUGCCAGCAGCCGCGGUAAUACGUAGGUGGCAAGCGUUGUCCGGAAUUACUGGGUGUAAAGGGAGUGUAGGCGGGACUUUAAGUCAGAUGUGAAAUGCGCGGGCUCAACCCGCGACCUGCAUUUGAAACUGAAGUUCUUGAGUGAAGUAGAGGCAAGCGGAAUUCCUAGUGUAGCGGUGAAAUGCAUAGAUAUUAGGAGGAACACCAGUGGCGAAGGCGGCUUGCUGGGCUUUUACUGACGCUGAGGCUCGAAAGCGUGGGGAGCAAACAGGAUUAGAUACCCUGGUAGUCCACGCCGUAAACGAUGAUUACUAGGUGUGGGGGGAUAGAACCCUUCCGUGCCGGAGUUAACACAAUAAGUAAUCCACCUGGGGAGUACGUGCGCAAGCAUGAAACUCAAAGGAAUUGACGGGGGCCCGCACAAGCAGUGGAGUAUGUGGUUUAAUUCGAAGCAACGCGAAGAACCUUACCGGGUCUUGACAUGGGGACGACAGG
rnacentral:rRNA from 1 species